rnacentral:rRNA from 1 species
GCCCGCUCAGAAACUCAAAGGAAUUGACGGGGGCCCGCACAAGCGGUGGAGCAUGUGGUUUAAUUCGAUGAUACGCGAGGAACCUUACCUGGGCUCAAAUGUAUGUUGACGUAUUCUGAAAGGGAUACUUCUUCGGACAAUAUACAAGGUGCUGCAUGGUUGUCGUCAGCUCGUGCCGUGAGGUGUCGGGUUAAGUCCCAUAACGAGCGCAACCCCUAUCAUUAGUUGCCAUCAGGUCAAGCUGGGGACUCUAAUGAAACUGCCUACGCAAGUAGUGAGGAAGGUGGGGAUGACGUCAAAUCAGCACGGCCCUUACGUCCAGGGCUACACACGUGCUACAAUGGCCGAUACAGAGGGCAGCUACCUGGUGACAGGAUGCAAAUCUCCAAAGUCGGUCUCAGUUCGGAUCGGAGUCUGCAACCCGACUCCGUGAAGUUGGAUUCGCUAGUAAUCGCGCAUCAGCCAUGGCGCGGUGAAUACGUUCCCGGGCCUU